rnacentral:lncRNA from 1 species
GGACGUCCAAGGAUGUUCAAUGAACUGAGAGGGGAAGAAUUGGUUCUUGGGAACUGCUGCAGGGAGCCUUGUUUGGAGAGAGUAUGGCCCUGGAGUGGACCCUCAGCACAUUGCAGUUUUUCUCUGGACCUAGUCUGGGAAGACAUGGUCUUAGCAAAGACACAAGUGGUUUGCGGCCAAAGAAAGUGCAAACAACUUGAUAAUGUGCCAUCACCGAUAUCCACCAGCACCCCGAGAAGAAACAAGCUACUCAGUGACGAUUGGUAUCAUGCUGGUACUGUGAAGAAAGGGGUAUAAAAGAGGAGUCAGAAGAGAAGACAGAUGUCCUGGGCCGGGGGACAUGCACAGUGUCGAAAGUUUGUGGGAAAACAGCCUGACCAGAGUGGACAUCAGCAGGAAAUGAGGCUGGGUAAGGAGUGUAAAGCCACAUUUUGGAGAGUCUUAGAAACCCCACUGAGAUGAGACUUGUCACAAUUGUGUUGUUAUGAGUAGAGAAGAGACAUGAUGUGGUGGGGUUGGGGAGAUGAGGAGGAAUGAACAGAGGGCCCAGACAGGAGCUUUGGGAAAGCCCCGCUCCUGGAAGGUGAGAGGAGGAGGGUCGAUGUGUGUGUAUCUUGUCCCAUAACUGAUUUCCUCCCUGCAGUUAGAGAGGAGGUCAUAUGAUGAUGGUAAAGACAAGAGGUUAGGAUUGAGGGCUCGAGAGAAGGUUGUUCAGUUCAAUUCUACAAAACGUUUUUGAGCUUCUGCUCUGGACUGGCCACAAUGCUAGGUGUUAGGAAUACAAAGAUGGAUAAAAUAUGGCCUCUCUCCUCAAGAAGCUUCCAGUCUUGCAGCAAUCAAUAAGAAAAAGAAUUUUUUUUUUUUUUUAACGAGCUAGCAGCACAAGUCAGGCUUGAUCUCUUACUUGACUGAGUAUUGAGACUUGGAAGUCUAGUAUGCCAAGGUGGGAGGUGGGGACAGUGUAUCAUGGAGGCCAGGGUGGUGUUGACAUGACAUUGCAGAGUGAGCUAAUGGCAGGAGCUGGAUGAUUAGAGAUCCCAGGGAAACAGCAAGCUCCAUAUAUGCAGGGGGGUGGGAGAGGCUGGUGUGUAAGAAGGUUGUGGUGAGAUUCAGUGUACAUUCCAGGAUCUCAUGGUGAGGUCCAGGGAGUGACUAUGCAGAUGCACUCCUACUCUGGAAUGGGGAUGGAGGUCAAGAACCAGAGCAAGUGAAGAAUCUUGAGAUCCAAGAGUGGGAUGAGUUGUUAAUGGACAAUUACACUUUUCUGCACUUAUGACAAGAUGAAAUUGCUCCCACU